UACGUAGGUCCCGAGCGUUGUCCGGAUUUAUUGGGCGUAAAGCGAGCGCAGGUGGUUUAAUAAGUCUGAUGUAAAAGGCAGUGGCUCAACCAUUGUGUGCAUUGGAAACUGUUAGACUUGAGUGCAGUAGAGGAGAGUGGAAUUCCAUGUGUAGCGGUGAAAUGCGUAGAUAUAUGGAGGAACACCGGUGGUGAAAGCGGCUCUCUGGACUGUAACUGACACUGAGGCUCGAAAGCGUGGGUAGCAAACAGG
rnacentral:rRNA from 1 species